GCACCCGCGGUAAUUCUAGCACCAAUAGCGUAUAUUAAUGCUGCUGCUGUUAAAAGGCUCGUAGUUGGAUCAAGAGUUGGACGAUGCACGGUGGCCUCGUUUGUAAGUCUGGCUCCGGUCAGGCUUGCGGCGGUGGAACAACCCCGUGCGCCAAAUCGUCCACUCUAACAGGCCGAAACGGUUCCCUGUGAGUAGGCUCCUUAAUUGGGGCUGAAAGCGCCUACGCAUCAACCAUAUGCAUACGGGACGUCGGCCAAUGUUACUGUGAACAAACCAGCGUGUCCAAAGCAGGCCCUCGCCUGAAUGUUCGAGCAUGGAAUAACAAGGGAUCGGUUCUCUCGGUUCUUUUUGUUGGUUUUUAACCCAAGAAGGAGUAAUUCAGGCCACGGUGUCUGAGUUGAGUUUCCCUGGCUUUCGGGUCAGGCCUUAACUAGGCCGUGGUCUUACGGGAUCAAUAGGGACUGACGGGGUCGUACGUACUCCCGCGUCAGAGGUGAAAUUCUUAGAUCGUGGGAAGACGAACUUCUGCGAAAGCAUUCGACAAGAAUGUCUUCAUUAAUCAAGAACGAGAGUGUGGGGAUCGAAGAUGAUCAGAUACCGUCGUAGUCCACUACUGUAAACAAUGCCGUCUCAGGAUUGAGAAGUGAACCUAAUGACUUUCACAGCACUAACCCCUGAAACGAGAAAUCAAAGAUUAUGGGUUCAGGGGGGAGUACAUUCGCAAGGCUGAAACUUAAAGGAAUUGACGGAAUGACACCACAAGGCGUGGAGUAUGCGGCUUAAUUUGACUCAACACGGGGAAUUUUACUAGGUCAGGACAAUGUGAGGAUUGACAGAUUGAGAGCUCUUUCUCGAUCCAUUGUGUGGUGGUGCAUGGCCGCUCCUGGUUGGUGGAGUGAUUUGUCUGGUUGAUUCCGUUAACGAACGAGAUCUCGACCCUUAAAUAGGUCUCUCGUCGAUUGUAGUCUUGCCUGUGCCAGCUCGCUGGAUAACAGCGGGACGAGACUGGGAGAAAACUUCUUAAGGGGACUGUGUGCGUAUAUAGCACGCGGAAGAGCGAGCCAAUAGCAGGUCUGUGAUGCUCCUAAAUGUCCUAGGCUGCACGCGCACUACACUGAUGCAAUAAACGAGUCUGAGUGCCUCCUGGCAACCUACCUGGAAGCGGGUGGGAAAUCUUUUGAACUUGCAUCGUGAUGAG
rnacentral:rRNA from 1 species